ensembl:lncRNA
AGAACAGAUCUGUGGUUGCCGAGGGGGCUGGGUCGGGUCUGUGAUUGCAACGGAAAGUCCAGGCAAUGCAUCUUUGAUCAGGAACUUCACAGACUGACAGGAAAUGGAUUCCGCUGCCUCCACUGCAGUGACAACACUGGGGGCAUUCACUGCGAGAGGUGCAGGGAAGGAUUUUACCGGCACAGGGAGAGGGACCGCUGCUUGCCCUGCAAUUGCAACUCCAAAGGUUCUCUUAGCCCUCGAUGUGACAACACUGGACGGUGCAGCUGUAAGCCAGGUGUGACAGGGGACAGGUGUGACCGCUGUUUGCCAGGCUUCCAUACCCUCACCGAUGCUGGGUGCACCCAAGACCGGAAGCUCCUAGACUCCAAGUGUGACUGUGAUCCAGCCGGCAUCGCGGGGCCCUGUGACACGGGCAGCUGUGUCUGCAAGCCAGCUGUCACGGGAGAGCGCUGUGAUAGGUGCCGACCAGGUUACUAUCACCUGGAUGGGAGAAACCCUGAGGGCUGUACCCAGUGUUUUUGCUAUGGGCAUUCGGCCAGCUGCCAAAGCUCUGGAGACUACAACUACAGUGUCCAUAAAAUCAUAUCUACCUUCCAUCAAGAUGUUGAUGGCUGGAAGGCUGUCCAGAGAAAUGGGUUUCCUGCAAAGCUCCAAUGGUCACAGCGCCAUCAAGAUGUGUUUAGCUCAGCACGACGAUCAGACCCUGUCUAUUUUGUAGCUCCUGCCAAAUUUCUUGGGAAUCAACAGGUGAGCUAUGGGCAGAGCCUGUCUUUUGACUACCGUGUGGACAGGGGAGGCCGACACCCAUCUGCCCAUGACGUGAUUCUGGAAGGUGCUGGUCUACAGAUCACAGCUCCCUUGAUGCCGCGUGACAAGACACUGCCUUGUGGGAUCACCAAGACUUACACGUUCAGAUUAAAUGAACAUCCAAGCAGUAAUUGGAGACCCCAGCUGAGUUACUUUGAGUAUCGGAGGUUACUGCGGAACCUCACAGCCCUGAGGAUCCGAGCUACCUACGGAGAAUACAGUACUGGGUACCUCGACAACGUGACCUUGAUCUCAGCCCGCCCCAUCUCAGGAACCCCAGCACCCUGGGUUGAACAAUGUGUAUGUCCUGUUGGGUACAAGGGACAGUUCUGCCAGGAAUGUGCUUCUGGCUACAAAAGAGAUUCAGCCAGACUGGGACCUUUUGGCACCUGUAUUCCUUUGCUGGGUGGGGGAGCUGGAGAUUGUUACUCGGGGGAUGAGAACCCCGACAUCGAGUGUGCGGACUGCCCCAUUGGUUUCUACAACGACCCGCACGACCCCCGCAGCUGCAAACCCUGUCCCUGUCGCAAUGGGUUCAGCUGCUCUGUGAUGCCAGAGACAGAGGAGGUGGUGUGCAAUAACUGCCCCCACGGCGUCACUGGUGCCCGCUGUGAGCUCUGUGCCGACGGCUACUUUGGGGACCCCUUUGGGGAGCAUGGUCCAGUGAGGUCUUGUCAGCCCUGUCAGUGCAGCAACAAUGUGGACCCCAAUGCCCCCGGGAACUGCGACCGCCUGACAGGCAGGUGUCUGAAGUGCCUUUACAACACGACCGGUGCCCACUGCGACCAGUGCAAAGCCGGCUACUAUGGGGACCCCUUGGCCCCCAACCCAGCGGACAAGUGUCGAGCUUGCAACUGCAACCCAAUGGGCUCGGGGCCCGUGGAGUGUAGAAGUGAUGGCAGCUGUGUUUGCAAGCCAGGAUUUGACGGCCUCAACUGUGACCAUGCAGCAUUAAUCAACUGUCCAGCUUGCUAUAAUCAAGUGAAGACUCAGAUGGAUCAGUUUAUGCAGCAACUUGAGAGCCUCGAGACACUGCUUUCAAAGGCUCAGGCUGGCGGAGGAGCAGUCCCUGACGCAGAGCUGGAGGGCAGGAUGCAGCAGGCUGAACAGGCCCUUCAGGACCUUCUGAGAGAAGCCCAGAUUUCAGAAGGUGCUAUUAGAUCCCUCAAUCUCCAGUUGGCCAAGACCAGGAGCCAAGAGAAUAGCUACCGGACCCGCCUGGAUGACCUCAAGAUGACUGUGGAGAGACUUCGGACCCUGGGCAGCCAGCAUCAGGACCGAGUUCAGGAUACUCGCAGGCUUAUCACGCAGAUGCGCCUGAGCCUGGAGGAGAGCGAGGCUGCCCUGCGGAACACUGUAGGUGAGCACUACACGGGGCCAAAUGGCUUUAAAAGUCUAGCUCAGGAGGCCACGAGACUGGCAGACAGCCAUGUUGAGUCAGCCAAUAACAUGGAGCAACUGGUCAGGGAAACUGAAGACUACUCCAAGCAAGCCCUGACCUUGGCGCGCAAGGCUGCUACUGAAGGAGGCAGCAGUGGCAGCCUCCGUGGCUCCGUGGUGCAAGAGCUUGUGGGAAAAUUGGAGAAAACCAAGUCUCUGGCCCAGCAGCUAUCGAGGGAGGCCACUCAAAUUGACACUGAAGCAGAUACGUCAUAUCAGCAUAGUCUCCGCCUUCUCAGUUCAGCAACUCAGCUUCAGGGAGUCAGUGAUCAGUCCUUCCAGGUAGAAGCAAAGAAGAUCAGACAAAAAGCUGACUCUCUCUCAAGCCUGGUGACUAAGCGAAUGGAUGAGUUCAAGCGUGUGCAAAGCAGUCUGGGAAACUGGGAAGAAGAAACCCAGAAGCUCUUACAGGAUGGGAAGAAUGAGAGACAGAAAUCAGAUCAGCUGCUUUCCCGUGCCAACCUUGCUAAAAGCAGAGCCCAAGAAGCACUAAGUAUGGGCAAUGCCACUUUUUAUGAAGUUGAGAACAUCUUAAAGAACCUCAGAGAGUUUGAUCUGCAGGUUGAAGACAGAAAAGCAGAGGCUGAAGAGGCCAUGAAGAGACUCUCUUACAUCAGCCAGAGGGUUGCAGAUGCCAGUGACAAGACCAGGCGAGCAGAGACAGCCCUGGGGGGUGCUGCUACCGACGCCCAGAGGGCAAAGACUGCAGCCGGGGAGGCCCUGAAUAUCGCCGGCAAGAUCGAACAGGAGAUUGGGAGUCUGAACUUGGAGGCCAACGUGACGGCAGAUGGAGCCUUGGCCAUGGAGAAGGGACUGGCCACUCUCAAGAGUGAGAUGAGGAAAGUGGAAGGAGAGCUGGCAAGGAAGGAGCGGGAGUUCGACGUGGAUAUGGACGCAGUGCAGACGGUGAUUGCAGAAGCCCAGAGAGCUGACAGCAGAGCCGAGAAUGCUGGAGUUACGAUCCAAGACACACUCGACACGUUGGAUAGCAUCCUACAUCUAAUAGACCAGCCUGGCAGUGUAGAUGAAGAGGGGCUGAUCUUACUGGAGCAGAAGCUUUUUCGAGCCAAGACCCAGAUCAACAGCCAGCUGCGGCCGCUGAUGUCAGAGCUGGAGGAGAGAGUGCGUUGGCAGAGGGGCCACCUCCGCUCACUGGAGACAAGCAUAGAUGGCAUUCUGGCUGAUGUGAAGAACCUGGAGAACAUUCGGGACAACCUGCCCCCGGGAUGCUACAAUACCCAGGCUCUUGAGCAACACUGAAGCUGCCNNNNNNNNNNNNNNNNNNNNNNNNNNNNNNNNNNNNNNNNNNNNNNNNNNNNNNNNNNNNNNNNNNNNNNNNNNNNNNNNNNNNNNNNNNNNNNNNNNNGCUGCCUUCGAGAUUUCCCAACUGGGGUUCUUAGGAUGAAGACCUCAGGCUCAGAAGCCAUCUCAUGCGGAUGGGGUGGGAUGGGGACAUUUGAAGGUGUUGAUGGGCAUUCUCAGCUCAACUGAACCUGGCCCCACCCUGAGACCUUGGCCAAGAUCAGUGUCUUAUUGUACUAGUGAGAUGCUCUUUGCUUCCUGAUGUGGGGCAACGAGGC